ACCCUUCCACAGAAUCACUUAGGGUGGAAAGUCUGAGAUCUUUAUCCUCAAAAUAGGGAGAAAAAUUUCACAACGAUGACUGUGAAAUAAGACACCAUCCUACUUCAACGAGAAGAUAAAAGCCACAAGACAGAAACCCAUCAUUCCUCCUCCAUAAAAUACUGAGUAGCUUUGUCCAAUCCCCUCUGUCUCUGAAGAAGAAGAAGAAGAUGCUUUUGGGCUGCGGAUCUCACUCUCAUCCCUUAUCUUUUGAUCUUGCUGCUUCCUCUACUUUUUUAUUCACCCAUUGUGAUUCCCUUUCUAAUGAAAAUUUUCUUACUACAGAUGAAGAGUGGGCUCACUUUUGCUCACAUGGUAUCCUCAGAGCCUCUCCCAGCAUAGAGGCUCAGUAAAUAACUGCUCCCUAAUCAUUCAUUGGGUGCCUUCUAGGAGUUGGUUUGCAAGACAAAAACACCUUCUAAAGAGCCAGUGUUGACUUCUAACUUCUCUUCAAAAAGACAUGAUCUCCUUUUCUCCCUGCACAAGGACCAUUUUCCUAGUCUGAAGGGAAUAAGAAGAAAUAUUGGUUCAAGCUGUUUAAGUUAAGAGUUUCUAUCUCACACCUGGACAGUAUCGUUAGAGCAUGACAUGCGUCUUCUUACCAAGCCACAAUCUGAUGUUUCCA